GCAAGCAGGCGCGCAAAUUACCCAAUCCCGACACGGGGAGGUAGUGACAAUAAAUAACAAUAUAGGGCUCUUUCGGGUCUUAUAAUUGGAAUGAGUACAAUUUAAAUCCCUUAACGAGGAACAAUUGGAGGGCAAGUCUGGUGCCAGCAGCCGCGGUAAUUCCAGCUCCAAUAGCGUACAUUAAAGUUGUUGCAGUUAAAAAGCUCGUAGUUGAACUUCAGACCUGGUCGGGCGGUCCGCUUAACGGCGUGUACUGUCUGACUGGGCCUUACCUCUUGGUGAGCCGGCGUGCCCUUUAUUGGUGUGCGUCGGGGAACCAGGACUUUUACCUUGAGAAAAUUAGAGUGUUCAAAGCAGGCUUAUGCUCGAAUACAUUAGCAUGGAAUAAUAAAAUAGGACGUGCGGUUCUAUUUUGUUGGUUUCUAGAAUCGCCGUAAUGAUUAAUAGGGAUAGUUGGGGGCAUUGGUAUUGAGUCGCUAGAGGUGAAAUUCUUGGAUUGACUCAAGACCAACUACUGCGAAAGCAUUUGCCAAGGAUGUUUUCAUUAAUCAAGAACGAAGGUUAGGGGAUCGAAAACGAUCAGAUACCGUUGUAGUCUUAACAGUAAACUAUGCCGACUAGGGAUCGGGCGACCUCAAAUAAAAUGUAUCGCUCGGCACCUUACGAGAAAUCAAAGUCUUU
rnacentral:rRNA from 1 species